AGCCCAGCUGGCAAUGGUCAAAGAGAUACCUUGUUGGUGAUAUUCUUAAAUCAGUCAGGGGCAGAGCAGAUGACAGUCCUUUGUGCCUCCUAGUUUGAUGCCUGGCUUGGUGGCCAAAGCUGUCUCAUGCCUAGGACACCUCA